UACUACUUUAAUAAGCAUAUAGGAAGGACAAAAAUGUCAUUUGCCACUUUACAAGCAUUUCAAGCACAUUGUACAAUUGCUCAAUGCAUGAAUGAUUUUGAAUCUUUCAACACCCCUGAAGUAACUUGGGCUGGCUUUCAAAACCUUGAAAUAUCUUGGGCGGACUUUUCAAAUUUCAAAAGCCCCAACUUUUCAAAUCCCGAACAAAACCUACAUCUCUCCCCUCCCCAAAAUUCAAACCCACCUUUUCAGUAAACAACAAUCUAUUCUCUCAAACCCUAGCCUCCUCCACAUCUCCAAUAUUCUCCAUCCGGUCUCUUCCCCUGCACGCGAAGAACCAGAAACACACAGAUUAGAAGAAACCCUAACUGAAUCAAUCAUCCACGUUUGUUUCGUUACCAUCACAGAGUCAAUCAUCCACGUUUCUAUCUCAGAUCUGCCGUUCAAUUCAUCUCUCAUCCAUCCACGUUCUAAUUUCAUAAUGGAUUAAAGCAUCCAUUUUAAAAUCUCAGAUUUCUGGUUUAAUCUUCUAGUAUGUUAUGAUUUUUGUUUCCCCUUUCUUGAUUUUGAGAACUGUUAAAUGACUGAUGCUUUUUGCACUUGAUUUUCAGAACUGUUAAAUGACGGAUGGUUUAUGCAGGGAACUUUUGAAGUUAGGUUUUAAUGUUUGGGCUAGGGUACGAAGUACCCAGAGCAGCACAUAUGGUGGCUGACGGUGUUCUACGAACAGCAUGGGUGGGGUUCUGGCGAGUCGAACUUGACACAGCGAUGGCUAUGGAUUCCGGCAAUGGAAGAUUUGGGGAUUUAGGGUUCUGUUGUUUUUGCCAUUCCGGGAGGACUUUAUAUCUUAUUUUUGUUUGAUUAUGAUUAUUCAUGUCUUAAAUGUAGCUUAAGAAGUCAUGUCUUAGAUAUACUAGCUGCCAAAUAUGCCUAAGAGAAUAAAGUCCCAAAACUCUAAUCUGGGUAGAGUUGUAGAUCCAGUCACUAAGAACCAAGUUAUCAAGGUAAGGUUUAAAAUUCAAGUUCAUCAUAUUUCUGAUUUUCUAUAAGGGUUUAAAGGUGAUUGGAGGAUUAAAAAGCAUUUUGUGGUAAUUAUCCAACUCUGGCGAAAGCUAACAUGAACAAAAGGGGAUUCAAGAAAAAGUUUUGGGUAGUUGGUUGUUAACAGGAGAUAAAAACUUUGUACCUUUCUACUUUUUCAGAAAAUAGGAAUUUUAGUUACAAAAUUAUGUCUUUACCAAGACUUAAGGUAAUCACAAAAUACUAAAUCAUUUUCAAAAAUAAAUCAUAUGUUUGAUAGUUUAUAUUUUACUCUGAAUCGUAGCCCUGCUGACAGGAAGCUAUAAAGUUUUGGAAGAUACAAAAUGAUGCAUGUUUAACAUGGAAAUCAAAUGCCAAUUUCAUCUUACGUUCAACUAUCUUUUGUUCUCUUCUUCUAUCUGUACCAACCAUGUGUUCCUAAAAUGUCUUUGGGGAAAAACAAUGUGCAUGGUAGUAGAAAGGGUAAAAUUGGCUGGUUUGAUAACAUGCCAAACUCGUAAAUUUUUUUAUGCAGGUUGUGGGUUUGACUGACUGACCGACUGUAAACAUUAAAAAAGCAAUUUUCAAAUACGUUUAAUGGGUCAAAUGUGAUUACAAAAAGUAUUUCAAUUUAGGGAUGAGCACGGUACCGGUACCAAAAAAUGGAGAACGUGGGUACCGAUACCCGGUACCAAAUGCUCAUCCCUAUUCAAUUCUGUAGGAUUUUUUAAAUAUAAGGAUUUGGGUUUGGACUACUUGCAAUCUGCCUGAUCCAAUUGUUUUUAAGUUAUAUUUAUAUUACUUUAUUCUACACAGAGAUUAGCUACUAACAUUAUAACUCGAACUCACCCUUUCAUUAGUAAAAGAUUCUUAAAAGAAGUAACAUGUUAGUUUUGUUCUUUGGAACCUGCUGAAUAAGGGAUUCUUACUGGUGGAUUGGAGUUACCUUGGUCACAUAAUUAGGCUUGUCUAUAAUUACUAAUUAUUUAUUUGUUUUCAUGUUUUAUAGACUUUUCUAAUCUUGACUUAUAAUUGGGUGUGCUUGUAGCCGUUUCCAAUCACUCAUGGCGUUCUUUUCAACAAAUAUAUAAUGGUUAACAUUCGUGACAGUAACGGGUGCAGGACAGGAAGUGCCAUUGCAUCACCCAUGACGAGCUUAUAUACUUUUUUGGUCAGUUUUGGAGUACAUGGUUGUAUCUGAAAUCUAAUGGGUCUACUGGGUAAAAAUGGAACAUGUCAAAUGGGUCGAACGGUCAGAUGUGACCUGAAAUAUAUUUUUAUAAUUAUAGUUUUAUAUAUUGAUUAACUAAAUAAAUUAAGUGGGUUGAACAGGUCAAAAGUUACCUGCAGUUGAUUCGCUACAAAUGAAUGUGGAAAGAAAUGAAAAGAAACGCAUGUCGGAAAGAAGACAGAUGGAGCCAAGUAUGAAUUCAUUCUAGAGGAAGUUGUUGCAAUUAGAAGAACAUUUACGUGAAUGAAAGAUUAUCAGCUGGAUGGAAACAAAGAAAUGGUGGCACUAGGCUCCAUGAACACUAUUGGUUCUUUUACAAGUUGUUAUGUGGCCCCAGGAUCGUUAAUAAGCAACAUUCUAUUCAUGGAACUUCUGUAUUGGUGCAAGUUUGUCUGAAUUUUAACCUUUUGAUAUGUUUGUGAGUUGUACACGAAAUGUUAAGAAAGACAAGUUUGGUUGAACGUUUUAGCAUGUUAGGAAAAAACAAUCCAAGGCGGAUUUGUUUGAUUAGUUUUGAGCUUAUGGUUUUGCUGUUGUUGGUUUAGCGCAGUUCAGUUGUUUACAUCCUUUUAAAACUCUU